rnacentral:rRNA from 1 species
CCUCCCAAAGCGUAACGGAGGAGCACGAAGGUUAGCUAAUCCUGGUCGGACAUCAGGAGGUUAGUGCAAUGGCAUAAGCUAGCUUGACUGCGAGCGUGACGGCGCGAGCAGGUGCGAAAGCAGGUCAUAGUGAUCCGGUGGUUCUGAAUGGAAGGGCCAUCGCUCAACGGAUAAAAGGUACUCCGGGGAUAACAGGCUGAUACCGCCCAAGAGUUCAUAUCGACGGCGGUGUUUGGCACCUCGAUGUCGGCUCAUCACAUCCUGGGGCUGAA